rnacentral:misc_RNA from 1 species
GUGAAUCAUCAAAUUUUUGAACGCAAAUUGCACUCUCUUUGGAGAGUAUGCCUGUUUGAGGGUCAGUAAUAAUAAAAUCGUGGUGUUGCUCUUUUGUGACACAACGGAGUUUUGUCUACCUUUAACUUUCGGGUUUAAGAGGCUUAAAAUUGAACUUUUUUUCGCACUUUUAGAUGUACAUAAAUUCUUUUUUUUAUUCGUCUAUCUUAAUGCUCAACAUCCCAUUAGAUGCGACUAUAUCGUGUUGUUUCGUGUCUAUAAAUUUUUCAUGAUUUGACCUCAAAUCAGGUAAUAGUACCC